UAGUCCACGCCGUAAACGAUGUCAACUAGCCGUUGGGAGCAUAUAAGCUCUGAGUGGCGCAGCUAACGCGAUAAGUGACCCACCUGGGGAGUACGAUCGCAAGAUUGAAACUCAAAGGAAUUGACGGGGGCCCGCACAAGCGGUGGAGCAUGUGGUUUAAUUCGAUGAUACGCGAGGAACCUUACCAGGGCUUAAAUGUAAGUUGCAUGAUUUAGAGAUAGAUCCUUCUUCGGACUACUUACAAGGUGCUGCAUGGUUGUCGUCAGCUCGUGCCGUGAGGUGUCAGGUUAAGUCCUAUAACGAGCGCAACCCCUACCGUUAGUUGCCAGCAUGUUAUGAUGGGGACUCUAGCGGGACUGCCGGUGCAAACCGAGAGGAAGGUGGGGAUGACGUCAAAUCAUCACGGCCCUUACGUCCUGGGCUACACACGUGCUACAAUGGUAACGACAGAGGGCAGCCACCCCGCGAGGGGGAGCGAAUCCUAAACGUUAUCUCAGUUCGGAUC
rnacentral:rRNA from 1 species